GGACUGCUCUUACAUCGUUAAUGGAUGUCGAGAGGAGGCACGGUAUGGUUACUUCACCUUAUCACUUCAAGCAUUUUGAUCACUUUACUAAAAAAAAAAAACCAGGCAAAUUAGUCCUUUAGUUAAAAAUUUCAGCAUUUUUACCGUUCAAAAUUGGCCAUUGUACGUCAUCAUAAUAUACACAUGGCAUGCCAUGUAUUAUUGUUUAAUUAUUCCGUCAACCACGUCAGUUGAUAACCGUGCAAAUAGAUGAAACUUUUAACAGAAAGGACCAAUAUACUCUUUGAACUAACAUAUAUGAAUUAAUUUACUUAUUUUUUUAAUAGAAGAAGGCAAAAUGUAAUAUAACUCCUAGUAUAUGGACCUCUAUAGUGCCUUUACCGCCAGUGAAGUGUUCGGAAACUGUAAAUGGAAAACAUAAUGAACACGAGAUCAAUAUGGAAUAAAUUAUGCUCACAAGAGAUAAUAUUUAAAGCAUAGUUGCCCGAUGGCCUAAUCCACGAAUGAGAGGAAAAUCCACUAAAUCCGAGGAGCUCUGAAACAAACCCAAAAUUUUUGCUUUCCAGGAAUACACUAUAUCUCGUUAUCCCGGUGUUUUACCAAUUCCUUCUCACAUCCCUACAAAACCCAUCUUCUAUACAGAG
rnacentral:lncRNA from 1 species